ensembl:Mt_tRNA
UGAUAAUUAGUUUAAACUAAAACAAAUGAUUUCGACUCAUUAGAUUGUAGCUUACCCUAUAAUUAUCAG